UACGUAGGUGGCAAGCGUUGUCCGGAUUUAUUGGGCGUAAAGCGAGCGCAGGCGGUUCUUUAAGUCUGAUGUGAAAGCCCCCGGCUCAACCGGGGAGGGUCAUUGGAAACUGGAGAACUUGAGUGCAGAAGAGGAGAGUGGAAUUCCAUGUGUAGCGGUGAAAUGCGUAGAUAUAUGGAGGAACACCGGUGGCGAAAGCGGCUCUCUGGACUGUAACUGACACUGAGGCUCGAAAGCGUGGGUAGCAAACAGG
rnacentral:rRNA from 1 species